GCGUCUGAUUAGCUUGUUGGCGGGGUAACGGCCCACCAAGGCGACGAUCAGUAGGGGUCCUGAGAGGAAGGUCCCCCACAUUGGAACUGAGACACGGUCCAAACUCCUACGGGAGGCAGCAGUGAGGAAUAUUGGUCAAUGGACGAGAGUCUGAACCAGCCAAGUAGCGUGCAGGAUGACGGCCCUAUGGGUUGUAAACUGCUUUUAUAAGGGAAUAAAGUGAGUCUCGUGAGGCUUUUUGCAUGUACCUUAUGAAUAAGGACCGGCUAAUUCCGUGCCAGCAGCCGCGGUAAUACGGAAGGUCCGGGCGUUAUCCGGAUUUAUUGGGUUUAAAGGGAGCGUAGGCCGGAGAUUAAGCGUGUUGUGAAAUGUAGACGCUCAACGUCUGCACUGCAGCGCGAACUGGUUUCCUUGA
rnacentral:rRNA from 1 species